GCCUGUUAACUUCCCCUGCAACCCCCUAUUAUAAAAAGAUCGGACUCUGGGCUAGUCGCCUCUCUAAGCUACUUUGCUUUGGGAGUGCCGUCUGGCCAGACUAAGGUCCGUUUUACCUUCCAACUUGUCCGGUGUGUUCCUUCCCGGGUCUUCUUCGCUGCAGUCAGCUCCUCGGAGCGUUUGCCUGCAGUCUUUUGGAGCUGAAAUUACUUAUCUACACAGAAGUCUUCUCCACCCAGACAUGGAGUCUAUGGAGUGCUCUGCCAUCUCUCAGAAACUUGGUA
rnacentral:lncRNA from 1 species